rnacentral:lncRNA from 1 species
AGAGUAAUGGAUAAAGUUUUAGAUUGCUUGAUAAGGAGGGCUUAAUUAUUUUUUGUGGAGAAAAGGGUGAUUGCUUUUUGUGGGGAGACGAGGGGAAUGUUAAUAUAUAUUGGGGAGACGUGGGCAGCGUUUGGUUCGAGGAUAAACAAAAAGUGGGUAUUUCGGGGAUAGGUAUAAAUUGAGGUAUAAGCGGGGAUUGGAUCAAUUUUGCGUUUGGAUAAAAAUUUGAUUAUUCCUGAAAAUAAGAAAAAUAGCAUUUGGUUAAGUAAGAUGGAAUAAGAAAGAUAGUAAGUUUUUAUAAAUAAAAAAUAAUAAUAUUACUCUCUUAUCAUAUUUGAAUUUGAAUUUUAAAUUUUUAAAUUUAAAAUUUUAACUUUAAAAUUUCAAAAUUUGAAAUUUAAAAUCUCUAAAUUUUAAAUUCAAAAUUUUAAAUUUUAAAUUUCAAACUUUAAAUUUAAGAUCAAAUUUAAAUUUAAAAAAUAUAAAAUAUCAUAUUUUAAAUUUCAAAAAUUUAAAAUAUUAAAAUUAAAAUUUAAAUAAUUUAUAAUUUAUAAUUUAAAAUUAUAAACUUUAAUUUUGAAAUUAUAAAUUAUAAAUUUUAAAUUUUAAUUUUUAAAUUUUUAAAAUAAGAAUAGGCGUGGGAACAAAUUAUAAAUUAUAAAUUAUAAAUUUUAAAAAUUUAAAUUUUUAAUUUUUAAAAUUUUAAAAUAAGAAUAGGGGUGGGAAUAAUUAAUAAAAAUAAUUUAUUAUAAUAAAUUUAUAAAUUUUUUAAAAUUCUACUUAAACUUAAAUUUAGUAAAAAAAUUAUUAUAAUAUUUAAAUAUAAUUUAUUAUAAUAUUUAAAUAUAAAUAAUAUGUAUUAAUAUAGUACGAUUAAUAAUUUUAUAAUAAAAAUAAUGUAUUAUAAUAUAUAAAUAUUAUAUUUAUAUAAUUUAGUUUUAAUUCAAUUUAUACUUUUAAUUAAGUUUGAAAUUAAGUAUUGAAAUAGUACUAUUCCACCGAAAUAGUGGAAUAACAAAUCUCUUGCUAUUCCGGAAUAACCGAAAAUAGCAAGAUUUGAUCGGAAUAAUAUAUUCCGGCCAAAUUUCAUCAUAUUUGGCGGAAUAGCAGGGAUAACUUUCGUUAUCCCUGCUUAUCCUCCGAACCAAACGGGGCCUAGUGUACUAAUUA